ensembl:lncRNA
GGAAGUGUCCUUACUGUUAGAGAGGUAGAGAAUAGGAGGUAUCCUUACUGUAAGAGAGGUAGAGAAUAGGAGUUAUCCUUACUGUAAGAGAGGUAGAGAAUAGGAGGUAUCCUUACUGUAAGAGAGGUAGAGAAUAGGAGGUAUCCUUACUGUUAGAGAGGUAGAGAAUAGGAGUUAUCCUUACUGUUAGAGAGGUAGAGAAUAGGAGGUAUCCUUACUGUAAGAGAGGUAGAGAAUAGGAAGUGUCCUUACUGUUAGAGAGGUAGAGAAUAGGAAGUGUCCUUACUGUUAGAGAGGUAGAGAAUAGGAAGUAUCCUUAAUGAAGGACCUACUGUUAGAGAGGUAGAGAAUAGGAGGUAUCCUUAAUGAAGGACCUACUGUUAGAGAGGUAGAGAAUAGGAGGUAUCCUUAAUGAAGGACCUACUGUUAGAGAGGUAGAGAAUAGGAGUUAUCCUUAAUGAAGGACCUACUGUUAGAGAACUACUUCCCAGCUACAAACACAAACAUGGAUAUUAUUCAGCAGAAGAGACUCAUAUUUUCUUCCUCAAGUGUGCUCUUCCUUCACUCCCCCAUGUUUCUUACUCCUGUCCAUGGUGUGGAGUCAACAAGUACACACUUCUAAGGUAGAGAAUUGGGACUCAUCAAAAGGCCUUCUAUAAGAUCCUGGAUCAACCUAAC